rnacentral:rRNA from 1 species
UCCUGGCUUAGGAUGAACGCUAGCUACAGGCUUAACACAUGCAAGUCGAGGGGCAGCAUGAUCUUAGCUUGCUAAGAUUGAUGGCGACCGGCGCACGGGUGCGUAACGCGUAUCCAACCUGCCGUGUACUUGGGGGAUAGCCCUCUGAAAGGAGGAUUAAUACCCGAUGUGGUUGCGGAGAGACAUCUCUCUGUAAUUAAAGAUUUAUCGGUACACCGAUGGGGAUGCGUACGAUUAGCUAGUUGGCGGGGUAACGGCCCACCAAGGCGACGAUCGUUAGGGUUCUGAGAGGAAGGUCCCCCACAUAGGAACUGAGACACGGUCCUAACUCCUACGGGAGGCAGCAGUGAGGAAUAUUGGUCAAUGGGCGAGAGCCUGAACCAGCCAAGUAGCGUGAAGGAAGACUGCCCUAUGGGUUGUAAACUUCUUUUAUCGGGGAAUAAAGUGCGCCACGUGUGGCGUUUUGUAUGUACCCGAUGAAUAAGCAUCGGCUAAUUCCGUGCCAGCAGCGGC